rnacentral:rRNA from 1 species
CCUGGUUAAGGAACUCGCAAAUUGACACCGUAACUUCGGGAGAAGGUGUGCCGCUGGCGGUUAGUGACUUCGCGUCACGAAGCUGUCGGUGGUCGCAGUGAAAUGGCGGUUGUGACUGUUUACUAAAAACACAGGACUCUGCGAAGUCGUAAGACGACGUAUAGGGUCUGAUGCCUGCCCGGUGCUGUAAGGUUAAGGGGAUAUGUCAGCGCAAGCGAAGCAUUGAACCGAAGCCCCAGUAAACGGCGGCCGUAACAAUAACGGUCCUAAGGUAGCGAAAUUCCUUGUCGGGUAAGUUCCGACCUGCACGAGGGCAUAACAACAUCCGCACUGUCUCGACCAGGGACUCAGCGAAAUUACAUUGGGGGUGAAGAUGCCCUCUACCCGCGGAAAGACGGAAAGACCCCAUGAACCUUUACUGCAACUUGGCAGUGAUUUUUGGGUUGUUCUGCGUAGGAUAGGUGGGAGGCUUUGAAGCCGGGCUUCCGGGUUCGGCAGAGCCAACGUUGAAAUACCACCCUGAAUAAUCUGGAAAUCUAACCUGCGCCCAUGAUCUGGGCGAGGGACACUGCCUGGUGGGCAGUUUGACUGGGGCGGUCGCCUCCUAAAUUGUAACGGAGGCGUGCGACGGUUCCCUCAGGCUGAUUGGAAACCAGCCGUAGAGUGCAAACGCAUAAGGGAGCUUUACUGCGAGACUGACAAGUCGAACAGUUGCGAAAGCAGGUGUUAGUGAUCCGGUGGUACCACAUGGAAGGGCCAUCGCUCAUCGGAUAAAAGGUACUCUGGGGAUAACAGGCUGAUCGCGCCUGAGAGUUCACAUCGGCGGCGCGGUUUGGCACCUCGAUGUCGGCUCAUCGCAUCCUGGGGCUGGAGCAGGUCCCAAGGGUUUGGCUGUUCGCCAAUUAAAGCGGUACGCGAGCUGGGUUUAAAACGUCGUGAGACAGUUUGGUCCCUAUCUUCCGUGGGCGCAGGACACUUGAGAGGAGCUAUCCAUAGUACGAGAGGACCUGGAUGGACGAACCUCUGGUGCUCCGGUUGUCACGCCAGUGGCAUAGCCGGGUAGCCAUGUUCGGAACAGAUAACCGCUGAAGGCAUAUAAGCGGGAAGCUGGCCUCAAGACUAGGUGUCCCUGACGCAAGUCACUAAAGGCCCCUCGAAGACUACGAGGUUGAUAGGCUCGGUGUGGAAGCGCUGCGAGGCGUGGAGCUAACGAGUACUAAUAGGCCGUGCGACUUGACCU